rnacentral:rRNA from 1 species
AUUGAACGCUGGCGGCAUGCUUUGCACAUGCAAGUCGAACGGCAGCGCGGGGCAACCUGGCGGCGAGUGGCGAACGGGUGAGUAAUACAUCGGAACGUACCCAGAAGUGGGGGAUAACGUAGCGAAAGUUACGCUAAUACCGCAUACGUUCUACGGAAGAAAGUGGGGGAUCUUCGGACCUCAUGCUUUUGGAGCGGCCGAUGUCUGAUUAGCUAGUUGGUGAGGUAAAGGCUCACCAAGGCGACGAUCAGUAGCUGGUCUGAGAGGACGACCAGCCACACUGGGACUGAGACACGGGCCACACUUCUACGGGAGGCAGCAGUGGAGAAUCUUGGACGAUGGGCGCAAGCCUGAUCCAGCAAUGCCGCGUGAGUGAAGAAGGCCUUCGGGUUGUAAAGCUCUUUUGUCAGGGAUGAAACGGCUGAGGAUAAUACCUUCGGCUAAUGACGGCACCUGAGGAAUAAGCACCGGCUAACUACGUGCCAGCCGCCGCCGUAA